rnacentral:rRNA from 1 species
CCUACGGGAGGCAGCAGUGAGGAAUAUUGGUCAAUGGACGAGAGCCUGAACCAGCCAAGUAGCGUGCAGGAUGACUGCCCUACGGGUUGUAAACCUCUUUUGUAUGGGGAUAAAGUUCAGUAUUUAUACUGUUCUGUAUGUACCAUACGAAUAAGGAUCGGCUAAAUCCGUGCCAGCAGCCGCGGUAAUACGGAGGGUCCGAGCGUUAUCCGGAUUCAUUGGGGUUAAAGGGAGCGUAGGCGGACGCUUAAGUCAGGUGUGAAAGUCCGCGGCUCAACCGCAACACUGCAGUUGAUACUGGGCGUCUUGAGUGCAGAAGAGGCAGGCGGAAUUCGUGGUGUAGCGGUGAAAUGCUUAGAUAUCACGAGGAACCCCGAUGGCGAAGGCAGCUUACUGGACUGUAACUGACGCUGAUGCUCGAAGGUGUGGGUAUCAAACAGGAUUAGAUACCCCAGUAGUC